CAGAAAAAUAAGCUAAUUUUAAGCUAUUGGACUCAUAAUUCAAAUAUAGAAUAAUCUUUUUUCU
rnacentral:tRNA from 1 species